rnacentral:rRNA from 1 species
GGUUAAGCGACUAAGCGUACACGGUGGAUGCCCUGGCAGUCAGAGGCGAUGAAGGACGUGCUAAUCUGCGAUAAGCGCCGGUAAGGUGAUAUGAACCGUUAUAACCGGCGAUUUCCGAAUGGGGAAACCCAGUGUGACUCGUCACACUAUCAUUAACUGAAUCCAUAGGUUAAUGAGGCGAACCGGGGGAACUGAAACAUCUAAGUACCCCGAGGAAAAGAAAUCAACCGAGAUUCCCCCAGUAGCGGCGAGCGAACGGGGAGGAGCCCAGAGCCUGAAUCAGCAUGUGUGUUAGUGGAAGCGUCUGGAAAGGCGCGCGAUACAGGGUGACAGCCCCGUACACAAAAGCGCAUGUGCUGUGAGCUCGAUGAGUAGGGCGGGACACGUGGUAUCCUGUCUGAAUAUGGGGGGACCAUCCUCCAAGGCUAAAUACUCCUGACUGACCGAUAGUGAACCAGUACCGUGAGGGAAAGGCGAAAAGAACCCCGGCGAGGGGAGUGAAAAAGAACCUGAAACCGUGUACGUACAAGCAGUGGGAGCCCCACCACCAAAGCAUUCUCUGGUGUUGAAGGCCCUGCAAAGCAGCAUCGCGGUGGCGGAGCGUCGUUUGCGACGCCCAACACACAAAACAAGCGGUGAGUGCUUUGGGGUGGGGUGACUGCGUACCUUUUGUAUAAUGGGUCAGCGACUUAUAUUCUGUAGCAAGGUUAACCGAAUAGGGGAGCCGGAGGGAAACCGAGUCUUAAUUGGGCGUUAAGUUGCAGGGUAUAGACCCGAAACCCGGUGAUCUAGCCAUGGGCAGGUUGAAGGUUGGGUAACACUAACUGGAGGACCGAACCGACUAAUG